rnacentral:rRNA from 1 species
CCUACGGGCGGCUGCAGUGGGGAAUAUUGGACAAUGGGCGAAGGCCUGAUCCAGCCAUGCCGCGUGUGUGAAGAAGGCCUUCGGGUUGUAAAGCACUUUCAGUGGGGAAGAAAGCCUUGGGGCUAAUACCCUCGAGGAAGGACAUCACCCACAGAAGAAGCACCGGCUAACUCCGUGCCAGCAGCCGCGGUAAUACGGAGGGUGCGAGCGUUAAUCGGAAUUACUGGGCGUAAAGCGCGCGUAGGCGGUCUGAUAAGCCGGUUGUGAAAGCCCCGGGCUCAACCUGGGAACGGCAUCCGGAACUGUCAGGCUAGAGUGCAGGAGAGGAAGGUAGAAUUCCCGGUGUAGCGGUGAAAUGCGUAGAGAUCGGGAGGAAUACCAGUGGCGAAGGCGGCCUUCUGGACUGACACUGACGCUGAGGUGCGAAAGCGUGGGUAGCAAACAGGAUUAGAUACCCCUGUAGUC